GUUUUAAUAGUUUAAUAUAAAACAUUGGUUUUGUAAACCAAAAAUAAGUCAACUUUUAAAACU
rnacentral:tRNA from 1 species